rnacentral:rRNA from 1 species
UACGUAGGCAGCAAGCGUUGUUCGGAGUUACUGGGCGUAAAGGGUGUGUAGGCGGUUCCUUAAGUUUGCUGUGAAAUCUCCCGGCUUAACCGGGAGGGUGCGGUGAAUACUGAGGGACUAGAGUACGGGAGAGGAAAGUGGAAUUCCUGGUGUAGCGGUGGAAUGCGCAGAUAUCAGGAGGAACACCAAUAGCGAAGGCAGCUCGCUGGGACGGUACUGACGCUGAGGCGCGAAAGCGUGGGGAGCGAACAGG